GCGCCGCCCGGCCACCCCACCCCGCCUCUCCACGGGCCAGCAGCCGAUCUGCACCGCCCCGCACAGGACGCCAGAGCAACUCCGACGGGCCGCCCUUCUCUCCUUCUUCCUCCUCACCGCGCCGCCACACCACCCCCUGCCUCGUGCCGACGCACCACUCCUGCGCGGCGCUGCCCCACCUCCAUGCCCCGCGCCGCCGCACAACCCCUUCCCCCGGGCCGCUGCACCACCCUCCUGCCCGACGCUGCCCCCACCCCCUCUCCCACGCAGCCGAACCACCUCCUUCCCCAUGCCUCCUCCUUGCAGAUCCAACCCGAGCAGGCCACCCCUCUGCCUCCCUUCCCGGAUCUGCCUCUACCUCGCCACCACCUACCUCGACGGCGGCCCACGUGGGUGCAGUUCACCCCGCUUCUCAUCGGGGUUCGGUUGCCCCGAUGCUGCAGUGCGCCUGGGGGUUUCCUCCUACCCCAUCCCGCCCCGUCCGGGGUGAGGUCGCUAUGCUCGUCAUGGUGAGGAGGGGCGAUGGAGGUUAGGACAUACCGGAUCAGGGCGCCCAAACCACCAGAUCUCAUCUAGGCAUGGAACACGAGAUUUGCGACGAUGUUUACCAUCAAGGGAGCAGGGCGAGGGAGGUCACGAUGACCAUGGCUGGGAUCCCUCUGCCACCGCUGUGCCAGGGGACGGAUCUGUGUUCUCUCCCCCGUCGCUGACAAAAUCCACCCCCGGCGGUGACUACACGCGCCGGCGUUGGGGAGGCUCUGCUCCUCGGGCUAGCAGCUACAAGAGGGAGGUGCUCUGCUUCUCCACCAACGGGCGAGCAGACUGCAGACGACUCCCAGGCAGUUCGGUGGCCUCGUGCUUCAGUCCGUUUCAUUCCAAAAAGGAAACUGGAAAAGUUUGCUGUUUCGCUCUUGUUUUUGACAAGAAUUUAGUGCUUUUCACUUCUAUUAAUAAAACCACAAGCAGUAUUCUUUCUUUUUCGAUGCGGUUCACUUGUACUUUUGUAUAUGCAAGAAAAAGGAAGCAUCAUGUGCAU